AGAGGUCCCAAGCGUUGUUCGGAUUCACUGGGCGUAAAGGGUGCGUAGGUGGUGAGGUAAGUCGGAUGUGAAAUCUCUGAGCUCAACUCAGAAAUGGCAUUGGAAACUACCUUGCUAGAGGAUUGGAGGGGGGACUGGAAUUCUCGGUGUAGCAGUGAAAUGCGUAGAGAUCGAGAGGAACACCAGUGGCGAAGGCGAGUCCCUGGACAAUUCCUGACGCUGAGGCACGAAAGCUAGGGGAGCAAACAGGAUUAGAUACCCUGGUAGUCCUAGCCGUAAACGGUGUGCACUUGCUGUAGGCGGAAUCGACCCCGCCUGUGGCGAAGCUAACGCGUUAAGUGCACCGCCUGGGAAGUACGGUCGCAAGAUUA
rnacentral:rRNA from 1 species